AAUGUGGCUCUAGUUAUUUCUUUCCCUUAAUCAUUCUUUUUCUUUCUUUUUUGCAGGAGAACAUUUCCACGAAGCACAAUCACUGAAGAACAGAAUGUCCUGAUGUUUGGGUGGAUGAGAUGCAACUUACGUAAUGAGAAUGGAGGCGUUUCAGGCAAUGUGACAGAGACAUGUGCAGAUGAAGAAGGAUUUUCAGCCCCUCUGCGGGAAACUGGAAUUGGCAAAUGGUUACUCAGUAAGUGAAGAGAACUGACUUCAUCAUCCUCAGCAAAGUUUCCAGUGCUACAAGAAUUCAAGCCUUACAGCUCUGCUCCUACAAUUGUCAGAGGCCUCUUGGGGAUGGCAAGUACAAAGGAGACUGAAGAAAGACAUAUUCCAGUCACCCCCAAGUUCAUUUCCACUUCAGGCUGAGAGCCUGCUGGCCAAGGGGAAGCUCUGUCUCUUUCAAUUUGGUUUGAAUUGAGACCAUCCAUCCUGGCCUUCUGCUUAGCUGCCCCGAAAGGCAGGCAGUUGAUGAAUGGAGCGUACUACAAAAGAAAGCCGGCGGGCACACAUGGGUCUGGUGACGCUUCUGUCAGGGCGGCUCAAAGGGAAGGCUGCACCACAUGGAUAUCUUUCUGGUUCAGAAAGGGUUAAAUCACUGGUUUUGGCCUUAAUCCAACUCAGAACCUCAACAAAAUGAGAACGUGCGUACAAAGAAAGCGGUGGAUAUGUGCCGGAUGCAUUAGAUCGCAGGCCUAAAGAACAUCUGCCUCCUCUUCCUACCACCUUCCCCACUGUCCUGCGGUGGUGAGAACCCAUGGAGUGGAGCCUCUAGCCCUUUGGUGUGGAGACAAAGACAGUGAAUGAAAUUCCAGGGACUUGAGUUCUGCUUCCAGUUCUGCUGCCAUUGCAAGAAGUCAGGUAGGCAAUUCCAUUUUCUGAGUCUCAGUUUCCUUGUUUCUUAAACAAGGGGCUUGGAGGACA
rnacentral:lncRNA from 1 species